GAUCAUGGCUCAGGAUGAACGCUAGCGGCAGGCUUAAUACAUGCAAGUCGUGGGGCAGCAGGUUUGUAGCAAUACAGAUGCUGGCGACCGGCAAACGGGUGCGGAACACGUACAGAACCUUCCUUUGAGCGGGGAAUAGCCCAGAGAAAUUUGGAUUAAUACCCCAUAGUAUAAUGAAGUGGCAUCACUUUAUUAUUAAAGAUUUAUCACUCGAAGAUGGCUGUGCGGCUGAUUAGGUAGUUGGCGGGGUAAAGGCCCACCAAGCCUGCGAUCAGUAACUGGUGUGAGAGCACGACCAGUCACACGGGCACUGAGACACGGGCCCGACUCCUACGGGAGGCAGCAGUAAGGAAUAUUGGUCAUUGGAGGCAACUCUGAACCAGCCAUGCCGCGUGGAGGAUGAAGGUCCUCUGGAUUGUAAACUUCUUUAUAUGGGACGAAAAAAGGCUUUUCUAAGUCGUCUGACGGUACCAUAUGAAUAAGCACCGGCUAACUCCGUG
rnacentral:rRNA from 1 species